rnacentral:rRNA from 1 species
AUUGAACGCUGGCGGCAUGCCUUACACAUGCAAGUCGAACGGCAGCACGGGAGCAAUCCUGGUGGCGAGUGGCGAACGGGUGAGUAAAGUAUCGGAACGUGCCCAGUCGUGGGGGAUAACGUAGCGAAAGUUACGCUAAUACCGCAUACGAUCUACAAAUGAAAGCGGGGGAUCGCAAGACCUCGCGCGAUUGGAGCGGCUGAUAUCAGAUUAGGUAGUUGGUGGGGUAAAGGCUCACCAAGCCGACGAUCUGUAGCUGGUCUGAGAGGACGACCAGCCACACUGGGACUGAGACACGGCCCAGACUCCUACGGGAGGCAGCAGUGGGGAAUUUUGGACAAUGGGCGCAAGCCUGAUCCAGCCAUGCCGCGUGCAGGAUGAAGGCCUUCGGGUUGUAAACUGCUUUUGUACGGAACGAAAAGGUUUGGCCUAAUAAGCUGGACCCAUGACGGUACCGUAAGAAUAAGCACCGGCUAACUACGUGCCAGCCGCCGCGGUAA